rnacentral:rRNA from 1 species
GCAUGUUCACAUGAUUAAAGGUAUUCCGGUAGACGAUGGGGAUGCGUUCCAUUAGAUAGUAGGCGGGGUAACGGCCCACCUAGUCUUCGAUGGAUAGGGGUUCUGAGAGGAAGGUCCCCCACAUUGGAACUGAGACACGGUCCAAACUCCUACGGGAGGCAGCAGUGAGGAAUAUUGGUCAAUGGGCGAGAGCCUGAACCAGCCAAGUAGCGUGAAGGAUGACUGCCCUAUGGGUUGUAAACUUCUUUUAUAAAGGAAUAAAGUCGGGUAUGCAUACCCGUUUGCAUGUACUUUAUGAAUAAGGAUCGGCUAACUCCGUGCCAGCAGCCGCGGUAAUACGGAGGAUCCGAGCGUUAUCCGGAUUUAUUGGGUUUAAAGGGAGCGUAGAUGGAUGUUUAAGUCAGUUGUGAAAGUUUGCGGCUCAACCGUAAAAUUGCAGUUGAUACUGGAUAUCUUGAGUGCAGUUGAGGCAGGCGGGAUUCGUGGUGUAGCGGUGAAAUGCUUAGAUAUCACGAAGAACUCCGAUUGCGAAGGCAGCCUGCUAAGCUGCAACUGACAUUGAGGCUCGAAAGUGUGGGUAUCAAACAGGAUUAGAUACCCUGGUAGUCCACACGGUAAACGAUGAAUACUCGCUGUUUGCGAUAUACGGCAAGCGGCC